rnacentral:rRNA from 1 species
UACGUAGGGGGCAAGCGUUGUCCGGAUUUAUUGGGCGUAAAGAGCUAGUAGGUGGUUCGGUAAGUCGGAUGUGAAAUCUCCAGGCUCAACCUGGAGGGGUCAUUCGAUACUGCCGUGACUAGAGGUCGGUAGGGGAGUGUGGAAUUCCUGGUGGAGCGGUGAAAUGCGCAGAUAUCAGGAGGAACACCAAUGGCGAAGGCAGCACUCUGGGACGGUACUGACGCUGAGACGCGAAAGCGUGGGGAGCAAACAGG